UACGGGGGGGGCAAGCGUUGUUCGGAAUUACUGGGCGUAAAGGGCUCGUAGGUGGCCAACUCAGUCAGACGUGAAAUCCCUCGGCUUAACCGGGGAACUGCGUCUGAUACUGGAUGGCUUGAGUUUGGGAGAGGGACGCGGAAUUCCAGGUGUAGCGGUGAAAUGCGUAGAUAUCUGGAGGAACACCGGUGGCGAAGGCGGCGUCCUGGACCAACACUGACACUGAGGAGCGAAAGCCAGGGGAGCAAACGGG
rnacentral:rRNA from 1 species